rnacentral:rRNA from 1 species
GAAGUAAGAUCCCUGAAAGAUGAUCAGGUUGAUAGGUCUGAGGUGGAAGUGUGGCGACACAUGGAGCUGACAGAUACUAAUCGAUCGAGGACUUAACCACAUUU